rnacentral:lncRNA from 1 species
AUAGCUUCUGUUUUCUUGAAUAAAUUUGACAUCCUGUUAAUAUUAACUUCUUGAUUAGUGUAAUUCUCAUAGUUUGUGACCUUCAUCUCCUGAUCGUUUUUUGAUAUUCUGCUCAACUUGGUUAAGUUGUUUAGGCUACCAGGCGUUUGAUUCUUAUAGUAAUGUUUAUUUUUAGUACGGCAUAGCUUAGGCUGAUUUG